GGGAGUGCACGCCAAUCGUCGUCAAUCGCCGUGAUCCUCGAACCGGCCUUCACGCCGGAGGUCGCGGGUUCGAGUCCCGUCGCUCCCG
rnacentral:tRNA from 1 species